rnacentral:lncRNA from 1 species
CUUGCUUAAGUUUGAGAGGAUUUUCUUAGAAUAAUAAUAGAGUGCAUGCUACAAAAUCUUUGUAGGCACUAACUCACUCUCCUAAUCUCUUCCAGGGUGGAGAUCUGCCUAGUGUUACUGAUAUUCGAAGACCUCGGCUCUACCUCCUUCAGUGGCUAAAAUCUGAUAAGGCCCUAAUGAUGCUCUUUAAUGAUGGCACCUUUCAGGUGAAUUUCUACCAUGAUCAUACAAAAAUCAUCAUCUGUAGCCAAAAUGAAGAAUACCUUCUCACCUAC